rnacentral:tRNA from 1 species
UUAAAAAUAAGCUAAAUUAAGCUUUUGGGUUCAUACCCCGACUAUAAAGAAUUAUCCUUUUUUUUAAA